UACGAAGGGGGCUAGCGUUGUUCGGAAUUACUGGGCGUAAAGCGCACGUAGGCGGAUAUUUAAGUCGGGGGUGAAAUCCCGGGGCUCAACCCCGGAACUGCCUUCGAUACUGGGUAUCUUGAGUUCGGAAGAGGUGAGUGGAACUGCGAGUGUAGAGGUGAAAUUCGUAGAUAUUCGCAAGAACACCAGUGGCGAAGGCGGCUCACUGGCCCGGUACUGAUGCUGAGGCACGAAAGCGUGGGGAGCAAACAGGG
rnacentral:rRNA from 1 species